rnacentral:rRNA from 2 species
UAGUGGCGAACGGGUGAGUAACACGUGGGCAAUCUGCCCUUCACUCUGGGACAAGCCCUGGAAACGGGGUCUAAUACCGGAUAACACCUGCCCGGGCAUCUGGGUGGGUUAAAAGCUCCGGCGGUGAAGGAUGAGCCCGCGGCCUAUCAGCUUGUUGGUGAGGUAGUGGCUCACCAAGGCGACGACGGGUAGCCGGCCUGAGAGGGCGACCGGCCACACUGGGACUGAGACACGGCCCAGACUCCUACGGGAGGCAGCAGUGGGGAAUAUUGCACAAUGGGCGAAAGCCUGAUGCAGCGACGCCGCGUGAGGGAUGACGGCCUUCGGGUUGUAAACCUCUUUCAGCAGGGAAGAAGCGAAAGUGACGGUACCUGCAGAAGAAGCGCCGGCUAACUACGUGCCAGCAGCCGCGGUAAUACGUAGGGCGCAAGCGUUGUCCGGAAUUAUUGGGCGUAAAGAGCUCGUAGGCGGCUUGUCACGUCGGGUGUGAAAGCCCGGGGCUUAACCCCGGGUCUGCAUUCGAUACGGGCUAGCUAGAGUGUGGUAGGGGAGAUCGGAUUUCCU